GAUGAACGCCAGCUACAGGCUUAACACAUGCAAGUCGAGGGGUAACGAGAGGAAAGCUUGCUUUCCUUGUCGACGACCGGCGCACGGGUGAGUAACGCGUAUCCAACCUGCCCCCAACUAGGGAAUAACCUUGCGAAAGUAAGACUAAUACCCUAUAAUUUCCUCAGAUGUCAUCUGACGAGGAAUAAAGAUUUAUCGGUUGUGGAUGGGGAUGCGUCUGAUUAGCUUGUUGGCGGGGUAACGGCCCACCAAGGCAACGAUCAGUAGGGGUUCUGAGAGGAAGGUCCCCCACAUUGGAACUGAGACACGGUCCAAACGCCUACGGGAGGCAGCAGUGAGGAAUAUUGGUCAAUGGGCGGAAGCCUGAACCAGCCAAGUAGCGUGCAGGAUGACGGCCCUAUGGGUUGUAAACUGCUUUUAUACAGGAAUAAAGUUAGCCACGUGUGGUUAUUUGUAGGUACUGUAUGAAUAAGGACCGGCUAAUUCCGUGCCAGCCGCCGCGGUAA
rnacentral:rRNA from 1 species